rnacentral:lncRNA from 1 species
AAACAUUGAAUCACAUUAGUUGUAGAUGAGAACAAAUCAAACCAAAAAGGAAAAUUCUCCCUCAUUCAUAAACCACCAUAAGGCCUUUCCUUCUCAGAUCAAUGCAUAUCCAAAAAUAAAAAAAGAAAAUUGAAUAGGGUCAAGGAACAAGAUCAGGAAAAUUAUAGAAACAAAUAAUCAUUCAUCAAUUGCAAAGAUUCAUCCCAAAAUAAAAACAAGUCUAAAACCUAAUUCAUUUGCAUAUAAAUAACAAGAGUUUUACAACAAAAAGAAGGGGAACCAAACUACAAAAGAUUUGAGGCAGAAAUUAGAGGAGAAUUAGAACAAAAAUAAUACUGAAAAAGAACAACACAAUUGCUGCGCCCCCUCCCCUGUUUUUCACUUUCAGCUCCACCAAAAUCUGAGUCGAGAGAACUAAAGAAAACGGCAGGCAAAAUUGAAAGGAGAAAAGGUGAAAAUAAUCAGAGGAAAAUUGUAGAGAAAAAGGAAGCCGAGAAAGAAGAACG